rnacentral:pre_miRNA from 1 species
CGUAAUAAUCUUAUUGUUUUUUCAUGUCCAAUGUUUAACCAUUCGUUUUAUUUAUAUUUUUUUACGAUUAAUAUUUUUAUUGUUACUGGAUGAUAAAAUAUGAAUGAUGCUAUAUAAGUAACUAUUUUUUAAGUUUUUUGCAAAUUUUUCAAAUAAAACGAAUGAUUAAAGGUCGGACAUGAAAAA